UACGAAGGGUGCAAGCGUUAAUCGGAAUUACUGGGCGUAAAGCGCGCGUAGGCGGCUUUGCAAGUCGAGUGUGAAAUCCCCAGGCUUAACCUGGGAACUGCAUUCGAGACUGCAUAGCUAGAGUAUGGGAGAGGGAAGUGGAAUUUCAGGUGUAGCGGUGAAAUGCGUAGAUAUCUGAAGGAACAUCAGUGGCGAAAGCGACUUCCUGGACCAAUACUGACGCUCAUGUGCGAAAGCGUGGGGAGCAAACAGG
rnacentral:rRNA from 1 species